rnacentral:rRNA from 1 species
GGGAAUAUUGGACAAUGGGCGCAAGCCUGAUCCAGCAAUGCCGCGUGUGUGAAGAAGGUCUUCGGAUUGUAAAGCACUUUCGGCGGGGACGAUGAUGACGGUACCCGCAGAAGAAGCCCCGGCUAACUUCGUGCCAGCAGCCGCGGUAAUACGAAGGGGGCUAGCGUUGCUCGGAAUGACUGGGCGUAAAGGGCGCGUAGGCGGUUUGCACAGUCAGAUGUGAAAUUCCUGGGCUUAACCUGGGGGCUGCAUUUGAUACGUGCAGGCUUGAGUGUGGAAGAGGGUCGUGGAAUUCCCAGUGUAGAGGUGAAAUUCGUAGAUAUUGGGAAGAACACCGGUGGCGAAGGCGGCGACCUGGUCCAUAACUGACGCUGAGGCGCGAAAGCGUGGGGAGCAAAC